ACUUAGCUAAAUCCACGUGAAGUCAGUCUAUUAACAGUGUUACGUUUAAGAGCCGCAAUUUUAUUUCUCUUCAUGCAUAAAUCUGUUAAUUUUAGUGUGGUAAUCUUAAAUUGGCACAAACUCUCUCAUUUUACAGCUAAACCGUACACUAAAAAUGUAAACAAAUACUCAUACUUUGAUUAAUAAUUUGUCUAACAUGUUUUUUUUCUCCCACAAAGUUUCAAUUAUGUCAUUAAAAUCUUUACAAUUACAUCUAACUCUUCCUCAUUUACAAUUCCAGAAUGUAUAAAUUGGCAAAUAUUGUGGAAAAGGACUUCAGUACUCAAAGUAGCCUACUAAAAAAGUAUUGAAUGUUACACAAUUUAUAUGAGAGAGGUUUAAGAGGCUAAGAACUGAUGUGAUAUCUUUGUUGCCUUUGUGUUUCAGAUCAAUGCAGAAUUUCUGUACUGUACUUCUGGUACUGAAAUUUAUUUCUGUGUUAGACCGUCACACUCCCAAGCUACUGACGCUAUUUCGUGCCAAAGAUGGAGCACUUGGAAGAAGACUGGAGAUCAUAAUGGAACUGCUGCAGUUGGUGAAUUCCUCCCCAGCACUCUUCGAUUGAGAGGACCGGAGAAGUUGUUCUUCGGUAUCUUAUAGAAUACCUUGGAGAACAAGGGGGACAUCUUAUCAAAGAAUUCAACGACACUGAGAACUUGGAGGAACUUGAACAGCUCAUAAUGGCCAUUACUGUGACCCCAAAGCCUGGAGCUUCUACAAGCAACAGCCCGAAGAUCAUUGGGAUCAUCAUAGAGGGCGUGGAAGUCAUCACAGGACUUGGAGAUAUUGCAAGGGCUUGCUCUGUCCUCCUUGGC